rnacentral:rRNA from 1 species
UACGUAGGGUGCAAGCGUUGUCCGGAAUUAUUGGGCGUAAAGAGCUCGUAGGCGGUCUGUCACGUCGGCUGUGAAAACCUGGGGCUCAACCCCGGGCCUGCAGCCGAUACGGGCAGACUAGAAUUCGGUAGGGGAGACUGGAAUUCCGUGGUGUAGCGGUGAAAUGCGCAGAUAUCAGGAGGAACACCGGUGGCGAAGGCGGGUCUCUGGGCCGACAUUGACGCUGAGGAGCGAAAGCUAGGGGAGCAAACGGG